AGGAUUAGCUCAGUCGGUAGAACGCUUUACUGCUGAGCGGAAGGUUGCAGGUUCAAUUCCC
rnacentral:tRNA from 1 species